GUGCCAGCCGCCGCGGUAAUACGGAAGGUCCGGGCGUUAUCCGGAUUUAUUGGGUUUAAAGGGAGCGCAGGCGGAUGUCAAGUCAGCCGUUAAACGGCCCGGCUCAACCGGGUCUCGCGGUUGAAACUGGCGUCCUUGGGUUCACAUAAGGCAGGCGGAACUCGUGGUGUAGCGGUGAAAUGCAUAGAUAUCACGAAGAACCCCGAUUGCGAAGGCAGCCUGCCGGGGUGUUACCGACGCUCAUGCUCGAAGGCGCGGGUAUCAAACAGGAUUAGAUACCCUGGUAGUCCGCGCAGUAAACGAUGGAUGCCCGCGGUGCGUCAGUUUUUGUUGCGCCGCCAAGCGAAAGCGUUAAGCAUCCCACCUGGGGAGUACGCCGGCAACGGUGAAACUCAAAGGAAUUGACGGGGGCCCGCACAAGCGGAGGAACAUGUGGUUUAAUUCGAUGAUACGCGAGGAACCUUACCCGGGCUUGAAAUGCGGCGGACGGGGCGGAGAGACCCGCUCCUCCACUUCGGUGCCGCCGUGUAGGUGCUGCAUGGUUGUCGUCAGCUCGUGCCGUGAGGUGUCGGCUCAAGUGCCAUAACGAGCGCAACCCCUGUCCCCAGUUGCCGUCGGGUGAUGCCGGGCACUCUGUGGAUACUGCCGCCGCAAGGCGUGAGGAAGGUGGGGAUGACGUCAAAUCAGCACGGCCCUUACGUCCGGGGCCACACACGUGUUACAAUGGGGGGCACAGCGAGCUGGGACAUGGCGACAUGCCCCGAAUCAGUAAAUCCCCUCCCAGUUCGGACUGGAGUCUGCAACCCGACUCCACGAAGCUGGAUUCGCUAGUAAUCGCGCAUCAGCCAUGGCGCGGUGAAUACGUUCCCGGGCCUUGUACACACCCGU
rnacentral:rRNA from 1 species